rfam:Triticum aestivum genome assembly, contig: Triticum_aestivum_CS42_TGACv1_scaffold_000396_1AL
UUACUACUCCCUCCGUUCUCAAUUACUUGUCCUGGAUUUGUCUAGAUACGGAUGUAUCUACCCAAUUACUUGUCUUGGAUUUGUCUAGAUACGAAGGUAUCUAGCACUAAAAAAGUCUAGAUACAUCCGUAUCUAGACAAACCAAGACAAGUAAUUCGGAACGGAGGGAGUAUAUC